CCAGAGAAGACUAAAGCGCCUGCGCAAUGGAUCUGUCCUUGGGUUGGAGACGUGUACUCUUUUUGUCCUACUUCCGCGGUCAGGUAUCAGCGCUGGAAGGCCCAUAAGAGCAUUGCCUGGUUCAAACCCUACCCCUCCAACUCAUUUUGCAGAGGAAACUGAAGGAUUUUCCCACCCAAACUCUACCACAGUUUGGUUUUAACCUAACCAAGGGGAUGACCAGAACCCCGACAACUCCAGGGACGUCAUGACUUGUUUACCAGUUCAGGUAAGUUCUGGUGCCAGCCUCAAGAUUUGGCUCCUCUGCCAAGCAAGCCUGAAGUAUGCUCAGGACCUAAGAGAUAAGCCAGCCACCCCACACCCCACUCCAGCAACCUAAAGCAGACCAGGCCUUAUAGGUUAGUCCUUCAGUUGCCCCUCCUGAGGACAGUGGAGGCAGGGAUCCUCCAAACAGGGAUACCUGGGAUUGAGCACAUAUUUCCUGGGAACUAGGUUGGGAAAUCUCCAGAGCAGAGGAACUGCAUCUUGAGAGAUGUCGCUAAGGUUUAGGGUUGCCAGAUAAAAUAUUGGAUGCCCACUUAUGUCCCAAAUAUUGCACGGGAUAUGCUUAUUCUAAAAAAGUUUGUUGUUUAUCUGAAGUUUAGGCAUCUUGUUUUUUAUUUACAAAACCUGACAAUCUACUUGGGGUACAAGCCCCAGCCCCUUGAAAGAAACAUUGAACCAGUAGUAUUGUCUUCCACAAGCAUCAUAAGCAUCACAUUACAAGAAACACCAGGAGGAGGCUAUCAGAGGGGAGGGAGCUCUACGGGGAAGCCCAAAGAGUGUGUGUGACCGUGCAAGGGUAGUUCUGUCACUUUUUAACUAUGACAGAAUGGAAGG